UAAACGUUGCUAGCAGCCCAUCCUAUCUGUGGACUAGCAUUUUUGCUGCAAAGAAAUUGCUAUUACUGGGAAUUAGACAGAAGAUACAUUCAGGUUAUGAAAUUAAGGUAUGGGAGGAUCCAUGGAUUCCACGAACCCCGCGAGGCCAGCUGUCCCCAUAGCACCAGUGAUGCAUCCUAAUAUGAGAGUAAGCGAUCUUAUUGAUCAGGGAUCAAAGGAUUGGGAUGUGGGACUUUUGGAGAACUAUGUUCAUCCUGAGGAUAUACCAUUCAUAAGGAGUUUGGCCAUAAGCUCAACUCAUCGUCGUGAUACUUUCUGCUAGAACUUUACAAGGAAUGACCAAUACACGGUCAAAUCUGGAUAUUGGGUGGCCCAGAAUUUAUUAAAGGUAACGGAGGAAAAUGAAGUUUUGGAGCCAAGUAUUACAAAGCUACAAGCUUUUGCGUGGAAAUUGAAGGCUCCUACGAAGAUAUGUCAUCUUAUAUGGCAGUUGUUAACUGGUCAUGUGGCAGUAACGAGGAACUUAGUUAGACGUAAUAUGAGGUGUGACAAUUAUUGCCCAAGAUGUGGAGAAGUGGAGGAGACCGUCACACAUGCAAUUUUUGAAUGCCCACCAGCUCUUCAAGUGUGGUCUUUAUCAUCAACUCUGACAUGCCCAAAUAUUUUCCCGGUUUCUAGCGUCUACACAAAUAUGGAUUAUCUAUUCAGGAGGAAGAAUGGUAUCAUUGGGCCAGAGCAAGAUAGGGAUCCUUAUCCCUGGAUGAUAUGGUACAUUUGGAAGGGUAGGAAUGAAAAACUCUUCAGGGGAAUAGAUAGAGAUCCUUUGGAACUAGUUAGACAUGCAGAGAGUGAAUGCCAAGCCUGGUUUGAUGCUAAUGAAGUGGCACAAGCAGUGGCACAAGAUAAUAUAAAUGAGGAACCCCAAGUCGUAAGCUUGGGAAACAUUUGCUUGUUAGAUGGAUCUUGGACAUCUUCUGCUAACUUUAGUGGAAGCGGAUGGGCAUGGAUGGAUAGUUCUGGGAACACUCAACUUAUGGGGACAAGAAACUUCCCCCGACGCGAAUCAGCCUUGCACUCGGAAGUAGAAGCAAUGCGGUGGGCGAUGGAGAAUAUGCUGCAACAUUCGACCUGCCAGAGCUUUGGGACAGACUGUAAGGAACUAAUUGCAAUGGUAAAGGACCCUCAGGCGUGGCCAAGCUUUUCGACGGAAUUGGAGAGGAUAGAGACGCUACAGAUAUGCUUCCCAGAAUUCAACAUCACUCACGUUCCACGGGCGUACAAUCAGAUUGCUGAUUUUUUGGCUAAGACUGCUAGAUCUUUCCAUAGGGAGUUACAUUUUGUUGGUUGUUCUAUUCCGGUUUGGUUACCCAGACCACCUCAAGUUUGAGUAAUAGAAUGAUCUUUUGACGUCAAAAAAAAAGAAAAAAAAAAAAAAAAAAAACAACGAAAGCAAACGAAAGAAGUGUCACUAUUCAUAAGGCCGCGUGUACGACCUGGACAUUUUGACCUAUUGACCCUUCGGUAACGUAAGAACAGAGCCGGCUGAAUUUUUUUUUAACAAAUUUGAAAAGAAUUUUAAUAGCUUGGAGGCUGAAAUGUGUUGUUUACAAAUUUGAAAACUUAUUUAUAUUUAAAUUUUUUCAAAAAUUUUGGGAGUUUGAGACGAAUGCUCAUCCAACUUUGCCCACCCUUAGUAAGAAUCUCUCAAGCAUCGUGUUCUUGGAAAAGUUGUUUCGACAUCACAUCAAAACGAAACUGAAAUUGAAAUCAAAACUAAGAUCCAAGUAAGUUUCUUUUAUACAUUUCAAAUGUGUUGUUUUAUUUUAUUUUUUUUGUCACUCAAUUGCUUUUUAAUCAUAUGACAACAUAAAUGAAACGUACUAUUUAGAUUCUGGUUUCAUGUAAUUAUCAAAAAGAUUGGAAAAACUUUAAAUGAUUAAAAAUCGAAUUAUCAAUACAAUUAAAACAGAAAACUCUUUUUUUAAGGUGCCUUUCUGUUUCAACAAUAUUUAUAAGACUCUGACACUGAAAUAUUUAAAACCUAUUGUUUUUACUUAAUUCUGUAUUUUCCAAUUUUACUUUUAAUUAACCAUAUUCGUUUUUGAUUGAGAUCUUCAUGGGUUGGGUGCGAUUCGGAUGGUUUGGUAAAAGGGGCUUCACUUUUUGUGGUUUUCGAAUGGUUGUGACUCGAGAUUUCGAGCUCCAGUAUAUAGAAACAAAGGAGGUUCCGAAGAUCCGUGGGAUUGAUAUGGAUUGUGGUAUCACUACUGCAUGUUUUGUCAAGAUUCAUGGAAUCUCCGAUGUUAAAGAGAUGGAGUACUGUAAAGGAAGAGUUUUUUUCUGGGACAAGAGAAACAAAAUCAAAGGAAAUAUGAGGAAGAGGAGUUACCUUCGAAUUAAUACAGAGAUAUAGAGUUUAUCUCUCUGGUUUACGUGGGGUUAAGGAGUUUUAUGCCAACUGACACAAUUUGGCCAAUCGAAGUGGCUGGUGAUUUGGACAAG